rnacentral:lncRNA from 1 species
CCAAUCUCGACAUUCCAACCCUAAGAAUUUUCAAUGUGAGCUACAAUUCCUUAAAUGGCUCGAUUCCCCAAUCCCUAGUUAAAUUCCCGGCUUCAUCCUUCAUCGAGAACGCGGAUCUCUCCUCAGCACCGCCAGCCUCGUCUUCCGCUGCUCCUCCACAACAAGGCUCUUCUUCUUCUUCUUCUCCGCAGACUGCCAAGUCGAGGAAACUCAAUACAAGAUCCAUCGUCGCCAUCAGUGUUGCCUGCGCGUGUCUGACAAUUCUCGCGUUGGUGUAUCUUCUUCCUGAAGAAGAGGAAUCAAAAUCACGGCUCCUCCACCAGAAUCGCGGCGCUACUUUUCGUCAUCGCUGGUAGAUCUAGGGCUUAGGGAGCAGGGAGACGACCAGACAUUUUUUUUUUUAGGAAAUUUAAUUUAUGCGCAAAACGACGUCGUUUUGCCCACGUGGCUUACCAGCGUGUAAAAAAUGCCACGAGUAAUGCCAUGUAAUGUUAAAUACUGUCCACGUCAUCGCCGGUCAAACUUAAGAGUUGCCGGAACUUUCGCCGUGUGCAAAUUGCAACUAAAUUAAAAGGUGGUGUAUUUUGGAGCUAUUUUUGAAGCUGAUGUGCAAAAUGCAAAUCCGGAAAUAGUUCGUGUAUUUUCCGGCUAUUAACCCUAAUAUUUAAAAUAAAUUAAAAUUGAGUAAAGGAAUAUCCUUUAAUAGAUAAUUGAAAAAUC